AGUGAACGCUGGCGGUAGGCCUAACACAUGCAAGUCGAACGGCAGCACAGUAAGAGCUUGCUCUUACGGGUGGCGAGUGGCGGACGGGUGAGGAAUACAUCGGAAUCUACUUUUUCGUGGGGGAUAACGUAGGGAAACUUACGCUAAUACCGCAUACGACCUACGGGUGAAAGCAGGGGAUCUUCGGACCUUGCGCGAUUGAAUGAGCCGGUGUCGGAUUAGCUAGUUGGCGGGGUAAAGGCCCACCAAGGCGACGAUCCGUAGCUGGUCUGAGAGGAUGAUCAGCCACACUGGAACUGAGACACGGUCCAGACUCCUACGGGAGGCAGCAGUGGGGAAUAUUGGACAAUGGGCGCAAGCCUGAUCCAGCCAUACCGCGUGGGUGAAGAAGGCCUUCGGGUUGUAAAGCCCUUUUGUUGGGAAAGAAAAGCAGCAGGUUAAUACCCCGAUGUUCUGACGGUACCCAAAGAAUAAGCACCGGCUAACUUCGUG
rnacentral:rRNA from 1 species